rnacentral:rRNA from 1 species
AUGCCGCCGCCGCUCUCCGUCUCGCACCCCUCGCCGCAGCCCCUCUCCCUCCUCCCGCGCCACGCCAGGGGCCCCCACCCCCACUCCAUCGCCCUGGCCCAGCCCCUCUCCUCCAGGGCGCCGCCCGCCUCCGCCUGCUCCGUCGUCCCCGCGCGCCACUCCGACUACUUCGACCCCCGGGCCCCGCCGUCGCAGCGCGACGCCUACGGGCAGCCGCCGCUGGAGAGGGAUCCGCCGGUUCCUGGGGGCCAGGCCGGGAGGGUGUUCGCCAGCUACAGCAUCUACAAGGGCAAGGCCGCGCUGGCCUUCGACCCCAGGCCGCCGCAGUUCGUGCCGCUCGAAUCUGGGGCGUACAAGGUGGCCAAGGAGGGGUUCGUGCUGCUCCAGUUCGCCCCCGCGGUGGGGCCUCGGCAGUAUGAUUGGACUCGCAAGCAGGUGUUCUCAUUAUCUGUCUGGGAGAUGGGAACCUUGCUUACUCUUGGUCUAACAGAUUCGUGCGAGUUCUUUCAUGACCCUUUCAAGGGGAGGAGCGAUGAAGGUAAAGUGCGCAAAGUUCUAAAGGUUGAGCCAACACCAGAUGGCAACGGUCGCUUUUUCAACCUCAGUGUUCAAAACCGUCUUUUGAAUGUUGAUGAGAACAUUUACAUCCCUAUAACCAAAGGAGAAUAUGCGGUCAUUGUAUCGACUUUCAAUUACAUCAUACCGCACAUCAUGGGCUGGAGCACGUUUACAAAUUCUAUCAAGCCCGAGGAGUCGCAGCCAUACAAUAGGCCGCAGUCCUCUCCCGAAUUGGAGUGGCGAAGGUGA